UACAGACUUGCGCGAGAUAAACGGAAGGUCGUCUGAUGACGGCAGCGCCAAUAGGCGUGGGAUCCUUCUGCUCGGGGUCUGUUUUAUU
rnacentral:sRNA from 1 species